rnacentral:rRNA from 1 species
UACCAGCUCUCCGAGUGGUAGGGAUGAUUAUUGGGCUUAAAGCGUCCGUAGCCGGCUUAGCAAGUUUCCUGUUAAACUCAGCGACCUAAUCGUUGAAUCGCGGGAAAUACUACUAGGCUAGGAGGCGGGAGAGGUUGACGGUACUUCUGGGGUAGGGGUGAAAUCCUAUAAUCCCGGGAGGACCACCAGUGGCGAAGGCUGUCGACUAGAACGCGCUCGACGGUGAGGGACGAAAGCUGGGGUAGCGAACCGGAUUAGAUACCCGGGUAGUCCCAGCUGUAAACGAUGCGGGCUAGGUGUUGGGUUGGCCACGAGCCACCCCAGUGCCGCAGGGAAGCCGUUAAGCAUGCCGCCUGGGAAGUACGAUCGCAAGAUUGAAACUUAAAGGAAUUGGCGGGGGAGCACCACCAGGCGUGAAGCCUGCGGUUU